rnacentral:rRNA from 1 species
ACGGAGAGUUUGAUCGUGGCUCAGGGUGAACGCUGGCGGCGUGCCUAACACAUGCAAGUCGAGCGAUGAGGCCCCCUUCGGGGGGUACAUCAGCGGCGAACGGGUGAGUAACACGUGGGUGACCUGCCCCGAGGACGGGGAUAACCCCUGGAAACGGGGGCUAAUACCCGAUGUGCUCGGCGGUUCGUUCCGUCGAGUAAAGCUCCGGCGCCUCGGGAGGGGCCCGCGGCCCAUCAGCUAGUUGGUGGGGUAAUGGCCCACCAAGGCUAAGACGGGUAGGGGGCGUGAGAGCGCGGCCCCCCACACUGGCACUGAGACACGGGCCAGACUCCUACGGGAGGCAGCAGUGAGGAAUAUUGCGCAAUGGGCGAAAGCCUGACGCAGCGACGCCGCGUGG